rnacentral:rRNA from 1 species
UGGCGAACGGGUGAGUAAUACAUCGGAACGUGCCCAGUCGUGGGGGAUAACUACUCGAAAGAGUAGCUAAUACCGCAUACGAUCUGAGGAUGAAAGCGGGGGACCUUCGGGCCUCGCGCGAUUGGAGCGGCCGAUGGCAGAUUAGGUAGUUGGUGGGAUAAAAGCUUACCAAGCCGACGAUCUGUAGCUGGUCUGAGAGGACGACCAGCCACACUGGGACUGAGACACGGCCCAGACUCCUACGGGAGGCAGCAGUGGGGAAUUUUGGACAAUGGGCGAAAGCCUGAUCCAGCAAUGCCGCGUGCAGGAUGAAGGCCUUCGGGUUGUAAACUGCUUUUGUACGGAACGAAAAAGCUUCUCCUAAUACGAGAGGCCCAUGACGGUACCGUAAGAAUAAGCACCGGCUAACUACGUGCC